GUGGGGCCUUGAAGCCCAUCCAGGACUUCUGACUCCAAAUCCAAGCCCUCCACCAUACUGUGCGGCCUUUCAUUCUGAGUGGAACUCAUCUCUGUAGAGAUCCUGGAAGCUCCUCUGGAGAGAGAGAAUGGAUGAGCCAAGAGCAUCUGGAGGCAGGAGGUCAAUGAGGGGCUAUGACAGCAACCCAGGAGAAGUGUCUCCCUGGAGCAGGGGGUAGCCUUUCCUGCCUCACAGGGUAAUAAAAAAUCCUCAGACGGAAUAUUAUGGAUGCAAAGGUGCAACACAGGCUCUCUGCUCUCUGCCCACCAUCCGAGAGAAGGGAGACAUGUCUGGGGCCUGAAGGAGACUGACCUUGUGGGGGGGAAACAGGUCUGCAGGUGGCCAGCUUGAGCGAUCUAGUAGAAACUUGGCCAGAAGGUAGGACUUCAGGCUGGCUCGGCUGCAGGCGGCAGGUAGGAUUCGGGUCUGCCUUCCCCAGUCUUCAUCCCGGGGCUGGGCUGAGGCGGCAGUGGCUCCCUGCGACACGCUCUUCUCCUGGUGGAUCACUGGAGUAGCCAGCGCCAAGCCAAACUGCACAGGCACGUUGAAGACCUCCAUGUGAGUCCGUUCUGUUGGCAUCGCAUUCACCAAAGCAAGUCACCUAGAUACACCCAAGACCAGCGGGGUGAAGAAGAAUACUCCGCCCAUGGUCCUUCCCAGCACUUGAAGCUUCAGACAUUUCCAGCUCCUGAACACAGCACGUUGUGUCAUGUCUCUGAGCCUUGGCCUAGAAUGUCCAUUAAUUGCAAUGUCUACAUGUCAACUUCUCCAUCAGAUUGUACUCUUAGAAUACAGGGGCCUCACCUGACCCAUUUCUGUGUCCCCAGAUGCCCAAUAUGGGGCCUGACACAGAAGGAGGGCUCAGAAACUCCUUGCUAAAUAAAUGAAUGAAUGAUUGAAUAAAUCAAU